UGAACGGAUAUAAAGACACGCACCGUAAA
rnacentral:sRNA from 1 species